rnacentral:rRNA from 1 species
GACAGAGGGGGCAAGCGUUGCUCGGAAUUACUGGGCGUAAAGGGCGCGUAGGCGGGAUGGCAAGUCGGUCGUGAAAUCCUUCGGCUCAACCGAAGAACGUCGAUCGAUACUGCUGUUCUUGAGGGUUGCAGAGGAGACUGGAAUUCCCGGUGUAGCGGUGAAAUGUGUAGAUAUCGGGAGGAACACCAGUGGCAAAGGCGAUCUUCUGGACGGAUACUGACGCUGAGGCGCGAAAGCUAGGGGAGCAAACGGG